rnacentral:rRNA from 1 species
AACGAACGCUGGCGGCAGGCCUAACACAUGCAAGUCGAGCGAGACCUUCGGGUCUAGCGGCGGACGGGUUAGUAACGCGUGGGAACGUGCCCUUCUCUGCGGAAUAGCCACUGGAAACGGUGAGUAAUACCGCAUACGCCCUUCGGGGGAAAGAUUUAUCGGAGAAGGAUCGGCCCGCGUUAGAUUAGAUAGUUGGUGGGGUAACGGCCUACCAAGUCUACGAUCUAUAGCUGGUUUUAGAGGAUGAUCAGCAACACUGGGACUGAGACACGGCCCAGACUCCUACGGGAGGCAGCAGUGGGGAAUCUUAGACAAUGGGCGCAAGCCUGAUCUAGCCAUGCCGCGUGUGUGAUGAAGGUCUUAGGAUCGUAAAGCACUUUCGCCAGGGAUGAUAAUGACAGUACCUGGUAAAGAAACCCCGGCUAACUCCGUG